rnacentral:lncRNA from 1 species
AUGUGCCAAGUGGAGUUCGAGCUGCGCGGCCCUCAAGCAGCUGAAGGGUCCCGUGAGCGAUCAGGAGAAGCUGCUGGUCUACGGCUUGUACAAACAGGCCACCCAGGGCGACUGCGACAUCCCCGGCCCUCCGGCCUCAGACGUGAGAGCCAGGGCCAAGUGGGAGGCUUGGAGCGCGAAAAAAGGGGCGUCCAAGAUGGACGCCAUGAGGGGCUACGCGGCCAAAGUGGAGGAGCUGACGAAGAAGGAA